rnacentral:rRNA from 1 species
AAUGAACGUUGGCGGCGUGGAUUAGGCAUGCAAGUCGAACGAGAACCCCGCAAGGGGUGAAAGUGGCAAACGGCGUAGUAAGGCGUAGGUGACGUACCUCCCGAUUCGGGAUAGCUACGGGAAACUGUAGGUAAUACCGGAUAAUCCCUUCGAGCUUGAAAAUCGAAGUGCAAAGGUGUGAUUCCGUCAGGAGAGCGGCUUACGUGGUAUUAGCUAGUUGGUGAGGUAAUGGCUCACCAAGGCAACGAUGCCUAGGGGGUGUUAGCGCAUGGCCCCCACGACUGGGACUGAGAUACUGCCCAGACACCUACGGGUGGCUGCAGUCGAGAAUCUUCGGCAAUGGGCGCAAGCCUGACCGAGCGACGCCGCGUGCGGGAUGAAGGCCCUUGGGUUGUAAACCGCUGUCAGAGGGGAUGAAGUGCAGGUGGGCUAUCCCACCUGUUUGACAUAGCCUCAGAGGAAGCACGGGCUAAGUUCGUG